rnacentral:rRNA from 1 species
AUUGAACGCUGGCGGCAGGCCUAACACAUGCAAGUCGAACGAGUGGCGGACGGGUGAGUAAUGUCUAGGAAACUGCCCGAUGGAGGGGGAUAACUACUGGAAACGGUAGCUAAUACCGCAUACCAUCGGAUGUGCCCAGGUGGGAUUAGCUAGUGGGUGGGGUAACGGCUCACCAAGGCGACGAUCCCUAGCUGGUCUGAGAGGAUGAUCAGCCACACUGGAACUGAGACACGGUCCAGACUCCUACGGGAGGCAGCAGUGGGGAAUAUUGCACAAUGGGCGAAAGCCUGAUGCAGCCAUGCCGCGUGUGUGAAGAAGGCCUUCGGGUUGUAAAGUACUUUCAGCGGGGAGGCGUUACUCGCAGAAGAAGCACCGGCUAACUCCGUGCCAGCAGCCGCGGUAAUAC